CAUGACCUGAGCGGAAAUCAAGAAUCGGAUCCUCAACUGAUUAAGCCACCCAGGAGCAUCAGUCAUCUGGUUCUUCAAAGCCGAUGACUACAGCAAGGACCCAAGAGAAAGACACACUGUGUGGUGUGACUCUUCACAAAAACAGCAGCCACUCCAGUUUUGCUUUCAGAAGCUUCCUCAAGGCUGAAGGGAGCACCAGCCUCCCUGAGAAAGGAUGCCUCACCUGCUCUGUGGGGUGAGGGGCAGCUCCUGGAGGAUGCCCCUUGAGGCUCUGCUGUGUUGUCUUGUGGGCUCUGUGCCUGCCUUCAGCCCACCUGAGCAAGGGGCUCUCAGGCUUCACUUUGACAGGCCUGCUGAUGUUGUUAUGGUGGCCAUCUUUGACCUUACGCUCAUCAAAAACUAUUCCCUCAUUCACUUUACCUGGAGACCACCUUGCAGAACUCUGCUAAGUGAAUCGGGAAGAGGGGCACAGGAGAAGGGGACAAGAUGACAGGGGGCUAGGCAUGCCUGCACCAACAUUUCCCAUGCCCUCUUACGAAACACGACUCCUGGUCAACUUCCAUGAUUGUCUGCUACGUCUUACUCAUGACUCUGCCUCCUACCUAAAUUUGGAAAAUGCAAAUUUGAUGACAUCCGUAUAGACGGUACUAAUUAAGGAUCACUUUUCCAAAAUAAUUGCAAGAGUGUGCUUCCCACACAUUAAAAAUGUGCAUCCAGGCUGCAGCGACUUCUUACU